AUUACCUCAGUAACGGCGAGUGAAGCGGUAACAGCUCAAAUUUGAAAUCUGGGUCUUUCAGGCUCCGAGUUGUAAUUUGUAGAAGAUGCUUCGGGUGCGGCUCCGGUCUAAGUUCCUUGGAACAGGACGUCAUAGAGGGUGAGAAUCCCGUAUGUAAUCGGUUGCUUGCGCCCAUGUGAAGCUCUUUCGACGAGUCGAGUUGUUUGGGAAUGCAGCUCAAAAUGGGUGGUAAAUUUCAUCUAAAGCUAAAUAUUGGCCAGAGACCGAUAGCGCACAAGUAGAGUGAUCGAAAGAUGAAAAGCACUUUGGAAAGAGAGUUAAACAGUACGUGAAAUUGUUGAAAGGGAAGCGCUUGCAACCAGACUUGCGCGUUGCCGAUCAUCCGGGGUUCUCCCCGGUGCACUCGGCUUCGCUCAGGCCAGCAUCGGUUUCGGUGGUGGGAUAAAGGCCUUGGGAAUGUAGCUUCUUUCGGGGAGUGUUAUAGCCCUCGGUGCAAUGCCGCCUACCGGGACCGAGGACCGCGCUUCGGCUAGGAUGCUGGCGUAAUGGUUGUAAGCGACCCGUCUG
rnacentral:rRNA from 1 species